rnacentral:rRNA from 1 species
UACGUAGGGCGCAAGCGUUGUCCGGAAUUAUUGGGCGUAAAGAGCUCGUAGGCGGCCUGUUGCGUCCGCUGUGAAAUCCCGGGGCUUAACCCCGGGCGUGCAGUGGAUACGGGCAGGCUGGAGGCAGGCAGGGGAGAACGGAAUUCCCGGUGUAGCGGUGAAAUGCGCAGAUGUCGGGAGGAACACCGGUGGCGAAGGCGGUUCUCUGGGCCUUACCUGACGCUGAGGAGCGAAAGCGUGGGGAGCGAACAGG